AACGAACGCUGGCGGCAUGCCUAACACAUGCAAGUCGAACGAGAUCUUCGGGUCUAGUGGCGCACGGGUGCGUAACGCGUGGGAAUCUGCCCUUUGGUUCGGAAUAACAGUUGGAAACGACUGCUAAUACCGGAUGAUGACGAAAGUCCAAAGAUUUAUCGCCAGAGGAUGAGCCCGCGUAGGAUUAGCUAGUUGGUGUGGUAAAGGCGCACCAAGGCGACGAUCCUUAGCUGGUCUGAGAGGAUGAUCAGCCACACUGGGACUGAGACACGGACCAGACUCCUACGGGAGGCAGCAGUGGGGAAUAUGGGACAAUGGUCGAAAGCCUGAUCCAGCAAUGCCGCGUGAGUGAUGAAGGCCUUAGGGUUGUAAAGCUCUUUUACCCGGGAUGAUAAUGACAGUACCGGGAGAAUAAGCUCCGGCUAACUCCGUGCCAGCCGCCGCAGUAA
rnacentral:rRNA from 1 species